UAUUAUUAUUGCUAACUAUUACCAUUAUUGUUAUUAUGAGACAAGUAAGCCAUGGCACAGUUCAUUCCCUCCCUAAGCUGGUGUGGCCUUAAUGGUGACAGAGUGGCAGGCACCAGGCAGACUGAGUGAGGCUUCCUGUGGCCUGAGGAGCCUGCCCAGCUGCUGUGUGAUGGACUGGGAUUGUCUAACACAAAGUGAGCAGCAAGGGAGGACUUGGUGAAGGAUGAGGCAUAUCACUCACCUCUCUUCUGGUCCAAGCCUGCCGGUCAAUGCUUUCUUCUCAUCACCUAAAUUACUCAGACGGGCUCUUUGUGUUGGUGACCUUCCUGGCAGUCCUUUUCACUGCAACACACUGCUCCUGGUGCCUCGGUGCAGCAGUGUCUGGUCUGGCCUCCUCGGCACGCUCCACUGGCCUCGUCAGUGUGGGUCUCCUGCUGUGCAGCAAAUGUCAGCACUGCUCACACCACUGCUACAGACUUAGUGCAAGGAAGGAAAGGGAAACCACAGAAUCAGACCUCACCUAACAUCACUUGCUGUUCUCAGACUGACUGCAGGGAAGGAAAGGGACACCACAGAAUCAGACCUCACCUAACAUCACUUGCUGUUCCCCAGACUUAGUGCAAGGAGGAGGGAAAGGCACCACCAUUGCCACCAUGCCUUGAAUGUGUGUACCGCCAGUGUCCUGCUGUUCCUGCACUGCCCACACCUUGGUGAGGCUGAAUGCUGCUGCAACUCUCCUCCCCCAGGCUGACUCCCACCUGCAGGAUGAGUGUUGGGAUGUGAGUAGUGAGUGGUUUGGUGGAGGCUUCAGAGAGAUUGACAGGCAGAGAGAGGAGCUUAGUUAGUGAUUGGUGUGGUGAGAGGAAAGGUGUGAUGUUGACAGCUGGAUGAUUUCUUACUCACUUGAUUGAUGUGUUAGAUGCUGAGUAACUUUUGUGAGUGUUGCUUGUAUUAAGACACCAAGUAGAUAGAUAGACAGAUAGAUAGAUGGUGUUAGUUCCAUACUUGACUGCCUUCAUGAGAGGAAGAAUACA